GGAGAGGUACCGAAGCGGUCAUAACGGGGCGGUCUUGAAAACCGUUUGUCUUCACGGGCGCAUGGGUUCGAAUCCCAUCCUCUCCGCUA
rnacentral:tRNA from 1 species